GAUCCCGGGCAGCCGCGCGCUUGGGCCCGGGGCGGAGUGCUCGCGGGUGUGUCCAUCCGUCCAUCCGCCGCCCCCGCCCGCCCCCUGCGGUGGCUCCCUGCUUGCCCAGCUCGGCGGCCGCGCCCGGCAGAUGCGCGGUGCUUGGUCCCGGCCUCCUGCGCCCCGGGCCUCCCGGCCCCGCCGGCCCCGGGCUGGCGGACGGGACCGAGGCGAGCUCCCCGGCCGCGCUCAACACCUGAGGAAACUGGCGGAAAAGUUUGAGAACGAAAAGUCCAAUCGUCUUUCAGCUUCCGCCCUCCCUAUGACACUUCAGCCACGGACUGCUCCAGUACUCAAGUCUGAGAUGCUGACUCUGAUGCAUAUCAUUAAAGAAUCAAAGUUUAGUGAAGAGCUUCCACCCACUCCAGACUCCUUUCCACAACCUCUUCCUGGAGUGGGCAUCUCCUACCUUUAUAGGACAAUGUACCACAUUGAAAAAUUUUGCCUUUUCCCCAGCAAGCCACUCCACAGGCUGUCAGACCUGCCUGUUCCUGACAAGGGCUGUUCUUGUCAUGGGCGGACCUCAGUUUCAGGGGGACGGCGAUGAGGCUGGAGCUCAGAGGGAUGGAGAAGCCUCUGAAGCUGCAACAGCAGGAGCAGAAGGCACAGCCGCAGGGCCCUCCGGAAAGAACAGAGAAGAGAAGUGGAAGCUGCACACCUGAGCCAGGAUGUUCUCUGUGAUGUCAGGUGUGUGUCUCGGGUUGACUCAACUACAUGGAGCUCUUGGAGGGCAGGGCAGUGCAGUCUUCAUCUCCAUCCUCAGCCCACUGUUCUCAGCAGGACUGGAUGUGCCAUUUGGACUCACUAGCGGGGCUGACAGUCAAACCAGUAAGAAAACACCCUCUCCAUAUGUAAUUGUUUAAAGAAGACGUGCAGGUAGUUCCUGUUCAACUCUGAUUAACCAAGCCUGGUGGAUUUGCACAGAACGGGACAGUGAUUAUAGGCUACAGUCCACGGGGUAGCAGAGUCAGACACAACUGAGUGACUUCACUUUCUUCUUUUCUUUGCCUCUCCUCUCCCCACAGGGUCCUGAAAGGGCACACAGGUAGGUCUCAGUCCCCUGAAGGGGGUGUGUAGGGGACAGUCCCAGUGCAUUCAGAAGAGUGUUGCAUUCAGAGCUGCAGCAUCCAUGCACGAAUCAGCCUGGCAGUGAGUGAUGGCCCUGCCAGUCUGUGAGCCAGGGGAGGACUUCCGGAGGCAGCAGCGCCCUCCCAGGAAUCAGAUAGGCAGUACUGAGAGCUUGCGUAAGGCGCUCUGGGGGCGGGGCCAGUGUGGCGCAUGCUCACAGCAGCAUGUCCGGGCCACAAGGACUCUCACUGAGAGCAGGUGCUGGGAGCCCAGGGCCCGCUGAUAGAUUCCGGUCAUUAGAGGUAUCAUGCUUCCUGCCCCUUUUACAGGCCAGCGUGCUCCCCAAUGGAACAUCUUCCAGCUGACUUCCUGGGCUGCCGAGACACACAGAAAACCAGACUCCAGGAGGAAGCUGCCUGACCCACCCCGCCUGUUUUUCUCUGGACCCCCCGGGCUGGCUCUUAAUGCUUGCGAUGCCUGACCCCUGUGAGGUCUGCUGGCGCUAGAGUUUAUUAGCGUCCGUUCCCCUGGGAGUGAGCACCCUCCCGAAGGAGAGGAGGCUGUGGUUUUACUUCCGUGUGAUCAAGGCAGACUGUGGGAAACAAGAAAGUGCGGAGAUUAAGGACUGACUGCUUUAACGAAGAGAGGGAAUCUUUCAUAGUUUCUGUGCCACCCAAAUCCCUUGCAGUGAGUAGGUUUGUAUUCAGCGAAAAUACUUUAUUUAUCGCAAGGGAAAUUGGAUCAGGGGAACAUUAAAGGUGGGGGAGCGACAUGCUGAAAGCAGAGCUCACAGCAAGGCAUGGCUUUGAGCCAGCGGUGCUCAGAAACCAAGGAGGAAAGCGACUCGUUAGAAGGUGGCUCUCCGCGGGGCUCCUGGGUGUGCAUCUCCCCUCCUGCUCCCACAGGACUGCCUAGAGGGAAGCAGAGCUCCAACUGGGUAACGGUCCUAGGGAACCAGCCAGGUUUAUUGGCCUCACCUGUUAUGUGUCUGCCUGGGAAGAGGUUGCUCCCCUGGGCAGUGUCACUUCAGUUUGGCCUUGGUGGUGGGAGGUUCUGCCCACCAAGUAAAGGGGCACUAGCCAAGAGGACUGGAACCCCAGCCAGUUUCUCUCUUGCUAGCCUGGGGUCUUGUUUAAAGCCCAGCAGCUUAUCUUAUGUCAAGGGGAACUUAAUUAAGAUGGAGCAUGCAGGAGAGGCCCUCCUUCCAGUGGGCCUGGAAUCAUGGGAGAUUGUCCUUGAGGACUCCCAGAAGACCAGGAGCUCAUGCUAAUUUAGGUGGGGAAGACUAGGUGGUAAAGACCUGGAGGAAGGAGUCCCUGGAGUCUUACCAAGGACCUCUUUCCAUCCCUGAGUCAGGAAGAUUCUUUGGAGAAGGAAAUGGCAACCCACUCCAGUACUCUUGCUUGGAAAAUCUCCUGGAUGGAGGAGCGUGGUUGGCUACAGUCUAUGGGAUCUCUAAGAGCUGGACACGACUGAGUGAGUUCACCUCAUUUCUCAAGGGAAGAGAGGGCAGGAGUGAUGGCAAGGCUUGGAGGGAAUCUGCCAUUUUCUUUCCUCGUCCAUCGUCAAGUGGAGAACACUCCAGGGAGCUAGCAUGAAGUAGGCUUCGAUGCUGGAAAGAGGGACCCUGGGUCUCUGAGUUGCUGCUUAAGGAGAGGCCCCUGGAGAGCAAUGCUACAUGAGGGCUCAUGGGAGACAAAUUUUUACUGCAUGAAGCCACUGUGUUUGGGGUUGUUUGGGAGAACAGUUAGCAUGUCAUGCCUGAUAACAAUGCCUAACUCUGCUCUGAUUUUGUGAGCAUUAGCCCAGCCCAAGGUCGGGACUCAUUCAGCCCACAGACACUUUCUGAGCACCAGCUGUGGGCUAAACAGGCAGUGGUGGUGGCCUGAUGAGCCUAAGCGGACAGAAACAGAACUUCAGAGUAAAAGCACAGGGCUGAAACCCAUCAAGCUGGCUUAGCACACACCCAGCCGAGGUCCCAGGGAAAAGACAUUAACCUUGCUGUAUUCAGCUCCAGGUCUGUACUUGUCAGCUGGGGACUAUGGGUAGAGGCGGGUGGUGUGUUUAGCUUGGCCAUCAGACUUCAGACUUUAUACAGUGCCCUUGGAAGAUGUCAUAUCCCACACCCAGCGGGUCACCCUGCCACCUGGGGCCUGGAUCACCCUGAAAGUCGCUGGAGAGAAAUGAGUGUGGCUUCCCCAUGUUUUGAAUGAUAAAUACAGUUCUUUCACCUCCUGGAUUUUGCACUGGCAAAGAGAAACGUGGAUAAGGAGAGGAAUGACAUUCUACCCUUGGUGUGCUUGGUGGGAAGUGGUGAGAACAGGCAAGGGGAGUGCUCACUGCAGUCGAUCAGAUGCCCCUCUGGAGGCAGCGUGGGCAGCAAGCCUGCAGGGAGCUGGUUCUGAGCUGUCCACCAGCUUCUCCCAGGGCCACCCGGCCAUUGCAGCACAUGCAUCUUUAAUUUUUUCAAUUAACAACAAUAUAGAGCAAAUGGAGUGGAGUUUUAAUUAUUCAUAAUUCAUUUAGGAAUAAAAUCUCUGUAAACUAAAGGAAAGGAAGGGUCAUAUUACCUGUUCUUAAAAAAAAAAAAAAGGCAGUGAAAGAGGAUGGAAAAUCUACAUAUAUUGACCUGAUUUUUUUUUUUUUAAAGCUUUCCCUUUGGUCUUCACAGUUAGAAACAAGAGAGAGAAAUGGGAGAAAAGCACCUGCUGGCAGGUUGGAGGGCUGCCUUUUCCCCCCGCCCUGACCUGGUCACUGGUACACGGUGUGACCUACAGCUUACUGCUGUCCCUUCGUGUGUCCACAUGAUCUGGCCCUAACAAAGGACUGAGAUGACUAGGGCCGCUGUUACAGAGUCAGUUUAGAUCCUGUGUAUUGACAAGUAUUGGCGAAGUAUCUGCAGGGUGUGCACACACAAUGGGUUCCAAUGGAACACUGAUAGGACCCCUGCCCACCAAGAACUUACAGGAAGGCUCCAUAAACAUGCGCCUCUAUACAAGUACAUGCUUUUUAGUCGCUAAGUUGUGUCUGACUCUUUUGUGACCCCAUCGACUGUAGUCUGCCAGGCUCCUCUGUCCAUAGAACUUUCCAGGCGCGUGUACUGGAGUGGUGUGUCAUUUCCUUCUCCAGGGGAUCUUCCUGACCCAGGGAUCUAACCCACGUCUCCUGCAUUGCAGGUGGAUUCUUUACCACUUAGCCACCAGGGAAGCCCUCACAAACAUAUACAUCUGUACAUAUGAGUGCCUGCAUAUGCACCCACUCCCCGCAAAAUCAUUAAAUCCUAGGUGGGAAGGGAAACUAGGACAUCUUUGGGGUCUAAAUUUUUUAGUCUAAGGGGCUGAGUUCAGAGAAUAGUGGCCAGAACACAUACAUCAGUCAGAAAAGGCUGCU